rnacentral:rRNA from 1 species
GUGGGGAAUCUUGCGCAAUGGGCGAAAGCCUGACGCAGCCAUGCCGCGUGAAUGAUGAAGGUCUUAGGAUUGUAAAAUUCUUUCACCGGGGACGAUAAUGACGGUACCCGGAGAAGAAGCUCCGGCUAACUUCGUGCCAGCAGCCGCGGUAAUACGAAGGGGGCUAGCGUUGCUCGGAAUUACUGGGCGUAAAGGGCGCGUAGGCGGACAGCUUAGUCAGAGGUGAAAGCCCAGGGCUCAACCUUGGAAUUGCCUUUGAUACUGGCUGUCUUGAGUACGGGAGAGGUGAGUGGAACUCCGAGUGUAGAGGUGAAAUUCGUAGAUAUUCGGAAGAACACCAGUGGCGAAGGCGACUCACUGGCCCAAUACUGACGCUGAGGCGCGAAAGCGUGGGGAGCAAACAGGAUUAGAUACCCUGGUAGUCC